rnacentral:ncRNA from 12 species
GGGUGCGGGGCCGGGUUCGCCGCCGGCCGCCGCAGGCGGUGGGAUGAUCGGGCCGUCAUCC